rnacentral:rRNA from 1 species
GUAGGGUGCGAGCGUUAAUCGGAAUUACUGGGCGUGAAGCGUGCGCAGGCGGUUUUAUAAGCCAGAUGUGAAAGCCCCGGGCUCAACCUGGGAAUGGCAUUUGGGACUGUAAGGCUGGAGUAUGGCAGAGGAGACUAGAAUUCCUGGUGUAGCAGUGAAAUGCGUAGAUAUCAGGAGGAAUACCGAUGGCGAAGGCAGGUCUCUGGGCCAAUACUGACGCUCAUGCACGAAAGCGUGGGGAGCAAACAGGAUUAGAUACCCUGGUAGUCCACGCCCUAAACGAUGUCAACCGGUUGUUGGGGGAUUUAUUCUCUUAGUAACGAAGCUAACGCGUGAAGUUGACCGCCUGGGGAGUACGGUCGCAAGA